rnacentral:rRNA from 1 species
AACCUUUCCAAUGCACGAAAGUGUGAGAGGGGAACUCCAAGUGCUCAUACUUAGUAUGGGCUUUUGUUUAGGGUAAGAACCUUUUCGAAUAAGUGGUGGGAAAGACGGGUGCCAGCCGCCGCGGUAACACCCGCGCCACAAGUGGUCAUCGCGAUUAUUGGGCCUAAAGCGUCCGUAGCCGGUUUAGUAAAUCCUUUGUGAAAUCGCCUUGCUUAACAAGACGACGUGCAGAGGACACUGCUGAACUCGAGACCGGGAGGGGUCAGAAGUAUGCUCAGGGGACUGGUAAAAUGGGAUAAUCCUGAGUAGACUACCGAUGGCGAAGGCAUCUGACCAGAACGGAUCUGACGGUGAGGGACGAAAGCUAGGGUAGCGAAUGGG